rnacentral:rRNA from 1 species
UACAGAGGGUGCAAGCGUUGUUCGGAAUCAUUGGGCGUAAAGGGCGUGUAGGCGGUUUGUUAAGUCAUGUGUGAAAUCCCUCGGCUCAACCGGGGAACGACGCUUGAAACUGGCAAGCUAGAGUACCAAAGAGGGCGGUGGAAUUCCCGGUGUAGCGGUGAAAUGCAUAGAUAUCGGGAGGAACACCUGUGGCGAAGGCGGCCGCCUGGUUGGAUACUGACGCUGAGACGCGAAAGCGUGGGGAGCAAACAGG